rnacentral:rRNA from 1 species
GCUUGUCUCAAAGAUUAAGCCAUGCAUGUCUAAGUAUAACUCUUUUACUUUGAAAACUGCGAACGGCUCAUUAUAUCAGUUAUAGUUUCUUUGAUAGUCCCUUACUACUUGGAUACCCGUAGUAAUUCUAGAGCUAAUACAUGCGUCAAACCUCGACUUCUGGGAGAGGUGUAUUUAUUAGAUGGAAACCAAUGCGGGGCAACCCGGUAUAUGGUGAUUCAUAAUAACUUUCGGAUCGAUCUUCGGAUCGAUGCAUCAUUCAAGUUUCUGCCCUAUCAGCUUUGGAUGGUAGGGUAUUGGCCUACCAUGGCUUUAACGGGUAACGGAGAAUUAGGGUUCGAUUCCGGAGAGGGAGCCUGAGAAAUGGCUACCACAUCCAAGGAAGGCAGCAGG